rnacentral:rRNA from 1 species
UACGUAGGCAGCGAGCGUUGUUCGGAGUUACUGGGCGUAAAGGGUGCGUAGGCGGGUUUUUAAGUCAGAGGUGAAAUCCUGGAGCUCAACUCCAGAACUGCCUUUGAUACUGAAAGUCUUGAGUAUGGGAGAGGUGAGUGGAACUGCGAGUGUAGAGGUGAAAUUCGUAGAUAUUCGCAAGAACACCAGUGGCGAAGGCGGCUCACUGGCCCAUAACUGACGCUGAGGCACGAAAGCGUGGGGAGCAAACAGG